GAAAGCUCCUUCGGGAGUGAGUAGAGUGGCGAACGGGUGAGUAAUACGUAGGAAUCUGCCCAGAAGUGGGGGAUAACCCGGGGAAACUCGGGCUAAUACCGCAUACGCCCUACGGGGCAAAGCGGGGGAUCUUCGGACCUCGCGCUUUUGGAUGAGCCUACGUCGGAUUAGCUUGUUGGUAGGGUAACGGCCUACCAAGGCGACGAUCCGUAGCUGGUCUGAGAGGAUGAUCAGCCACACUGGGACUGAGACACGGCCCAGACUCCUACGGGAGGCAGCAGUGGGGAAUAUUGGACAAUGGGGGCAACCCUGAUCCAGCCACGCCGCGUGUGUGAAGAAGGCCUUCGGGUUGUAAAGCACUUUCAGCAGGGAAGAAAAGCUUGGGGCUAAUACCCCCGGGUCUUGACGGUACCUGCAUAAGAAGCACCGGCUAACUCCGUGCCAGCAGCCGCGGUAAUACGGAGGGUGCAAGCGUUGUCCGGAUUUAUUGGGCGUAAAGCGCGUGUAGGCGGCCAGGCAGGUCCGUUGUGAAAACUGGAGGCUCAACCUCCAGACGUCGAUGGAAACCGCUUGGCUAGAGUCCGGAAGAGGAGAGUGGAAUUCCUGGUGUAGCGGUGAAAUGCGCAGAUAUCAGGAAGAACACCGAUGGCGAAGGCAGCUCUCUGGGACGGUACUG
rnacentral:rRNA from 1 species